UGGGGAAUUUUGGACAAUGGGCGCAAGCCUGAUCCAGCCAUGCCGCGUGCGGGAAGAAGGCCUUCGGGUUGUAAACCGCUUUUGUCAGGGAAGAAAUCUUCUGAGUUAAUACCUCGGGAGGAUGACGGUACCUGAAGAAUAAGCACCGGCUAACUACGUGCCAGCAGCCGCGGUAAUACGUAGGGUGCAAGCGUUAAUCGGAAUUACUGGGCGUAAAGCGUGCGCAGGCGGUUUUGUAAGACAGAGGUGAAAUCCCCGGGCUCAACCUGGGAACUGCCUUUGUGACUGCAAGGCUUGAGUGCGGCAGAGGGGGAUGGAAUUCCGCGUGUAGCAGUGAAAUGCGUAGAUAUGCGGAGGAACACCGAUGGCGAAGGCAAUCCCCUGGGCCUGCACUGACGCUCAUGCACGAAAGCGUGGGGAGCAAACAGGAUUAGAUACCCUGGUAGUCCACGCCCUAAACGAUGUCAACUGGUUGUUGGGAAGGUUCCUUCUCAGUAACGUAGCUAACGCGUGAAGUUGACCGCCUGGGGAGUACGGCCGCAAGGUUGAAAACUCAAAGGAAUUGA
rnacentral:rRNA from 1 species